rnacentral:rRNA from 1 species
UACGUAGGGUGCAAGCGUUUAAUCGGAAUUACUGGGCGUAAAGCGUGCGCAGGCGGUGAUGUAAGACAGUUGUGAAAUCCCCGGGCUCAACCUGGGAACUGCAUCUGUGACUGCAUCGCUGGAGUGCGGCAGAGGGGGAUGGAAUUCCGCGUGUAGCAGUGAAAUGCGUAGAUAUGCGGAGGAACACCGAUGGCGAAGGCAAUCC